rnacentral:rRNA from 1 species
AUACGUAGGGAGCGAGCGUUGUCCGGAAUUACUGGGUGUAAAGGGAGCGUAGGCGGGAGUGCAAGUCAGAUGUGAAAUACAUGGGCUCAACCCAUGGGCUGCAUUUGAAACUGCAUUUCUUGAGUGAAGUAGAGGUAAGCGGAAUUCCUGGUGUAGCGGUGAAAUGCGUAGAUAUCAGGAGGAACACCGGUGGCGAAGGCGGCUUACUGGGCUUUUACUGACGCUGAGGCUCGAAAGCGUGGGGAGCAAACAGGAUUAGAUACCCUGGUAGUCCACGCUGUAAACGAUGAUUACUAGGUGUGGGGGGACUGACCCCUUCCGUGCCGCAGUUAACACAAUAAGUAAUCCACCUGGGGAGUACGGCCGCAAGGUUGAAACUCAAAUGAAUUUACGGGG